GAUGAACGCUAGCGACAGGCUUAACACAUGCAAGUCGAGGGGCAGCGGGGUAGUGCUUGCACUACUGCCGGCGACCGGCGCACGGGUGAGUAACACGUAUGGAACCUGCCCGCAGCAGGGGGAUAAGCGGAAGAAAUUCCGUCUAAUACCGCGUAACAACGUUGGGAGGCAUCUCCCGAUGUUUAAAGAUUUAUCGGCUGCGGAUGGCCAUGCGGCGCAUUAGCUAGUCGGCGGGGUAACGGCCCACUGAGGCGACGAUGCGUAGGGGUUCUGAGAGGAAGGUCCCCCACACUGGUACUGAGACACGGACCAGACUCCUACGGGAGGCAGCAGUGAGGAAUAUUGGUCAAUGGCCGAGAGGCUGAACCAGCCAAGUCGCGUGAGGGAUGACGGCCCUACGGGUUGUAAACCUCUUUUGUCGGGGAGCAAAGGGAGUCACGUGUGACUCAUUGAGAGUACCCGAAGAAAAAGCAUCGGCUAACUCCGUGCCAGCAGCCGCGGUAAUACGGAGGAUGCGAGCGUUAUCCGGAUUUAUUGGGUUUAAAGGGUGCGCAAGCGGAGGUGCAGUCAGCGGUCAAAUUGCGGGGCUCAACCCCGUACUGCCGUUGAAACUGCAUCCCUUGAGUGCGCGAGAAGUAUGCGGAAUGCGUGGUGUAGCGGUGAAAUGCAUAGAUAUCACGCAGAACUCCGAUUGCGAAGGCAGCAUACCGGCGCGCAACUGACGCUCAUGCACGAAAGCGUGGGUAUCGAACAGGAUUAGAUACCCUGGUAGUCCACGCAGUAAACGAUGAACACUAACUGUUCGGCCAGAAUGAUGGCUGAGUGGUACAGCGAAAGCGUUAAGUGUUCCACCUGGGGAGUACGCCGGCAACGGUGAAACUCAAAGGAAUUGACGGGGGCCCGCACAAGCGGAGGAACAUGUGGUUUAAUUCGAUGAUACGCGAGGAACCUUACCCGGGCUCAAACGACACAGGAAUACUUUUGAAAGGAGGUAGCCCUACGGGGUCUGUGUCGAGGUGCUGCAUGGUUGUCGUCAGCUCGUGCCGUGAGGUGUCGGCUUAAGUGCCAUAACGAGCGCAACCCCUAUCGCCAGUUGCCAUCAAGUAAAGUUGGGGACUCUGGCGAGACUGCCGGCGCAAGCUGUGAGGAAGGCGGGGAUGACGUCAAAUCAGCACGGCCCUUACGUCCGGGGCGACACACGUGUUACAAUGGCAGGUACAGAGAGAAGCCAGGUGGCGACACCGAGCGGAACUCGAAAGCCUGUCUCAGUUCGGAUCGGAGUCUGCAACCCGACUCCGUGAAGCUGGAUUCGCUAGUAAUCGCGCAUCAGCCAUGGCGCGGUGAAUACGUUCCCGGGCCU
rnacentral:rRNA from 1 species